AAAGGCGAAAAGAACCCCGGCGAGGGGAGUGAAAAAGAACCUGAAACCGUGUACGUACAAGCAGUGGGAGCCCCACCACUAAGCCAGUGGUGAACUCCACAUACGCAUCCUUUGCUGAGGAUACGGUUAACGGAGCGAAAGCGACGUUCAACCGCAAAAGAAGCAGAGGGGGCUUAGUGGUGGGGUGACUGCGUACCUUUUGUAUAAUGGGUCAGCGACUUAUAUUCUGUAGCAAGGUUAACCGAAUAGGGGAGCCGGAGGGAAACCGAGUCUUAACCGGGCGUUAAGUUGCAGGGUAUAGACCCGAAACCCGGUGAUCUAGCCAUGGGCAGGUUGAAGGUUGGGUAACACUAACUGGAGGACCGAACCGACUAAUGUUGAAAAAUUAGCGGAUGACCUGUGGCUGGGGGUGAAAGGCCAAUCAAACCGGGAGAUAGCUGGUUCUCCCCGAAAGCUAUUUAGGUAGCGCCUCGUGAAUUCAUCUCCGGGGGUAGAGCACUGUUUCGGCUAGGGGGCCAUCCCGGCUUACCAACCCGAUGCAAACUGCGAAUACCGGAGAAUGUUAUCACGGGAGACACACGGCGGGUGCUAACGUCCGUCGUGAAGAGGGAAACAACCCAGACCGCCAGCUAAGGUCCCAAAGUCAUGGUUAAGUGGGAAACGAUGUGGGAAGGCCCAGACAGCCAGGAUGUUGGCUUAGAAGCAGCCAUCAUUUAAAGAAAGCGUAAUAGCUCACUGGUCGAGUCGGCCUGCGCGGAAGAUGUAACGGGGCUAAACCAU
rnacentral:rRNA from 1 species